CUUUCUAACUCAUUCUUCCCGAUAACAUUGAACCCUAAAAAAUCUAACUCACCUCCUCCCUUUCUUCAUUCACGUGGCGUCCAGCUCCCAACGAACCAACCCUCGUCGCCUUGGCCACCCUACAUGGGUGGCCACUCUACUCGGGCUGGUGACUUACCAAACUAGGGGGAACACCACGAAAACAAGCCCUUAACCUCAACUCACUCUACCUCUCCUCGGACGAGGACCAAACCACGCAAGACCGCCAUAUACAGCGGCCCUUCAACCCCCGAAUCAGUGACAACUAUGCUAUCAUCUCCUAGACGACAAGGCUACCCCGACGAACCCAUGGAAGCAAGGAAAAAUAAAAUAAUGAUAGUGGAAGCACACUAGCAUGGGCACGACAUAGGGACUUGUACGGCGUGGGCAAGGUGUUGGGUAUUGGGAAUGGCAUAUCGUGGGAGAGCAUAGUAUGGGCUGUGCAUGGGGGACAAGUUGUAAAGUGGAGCAUGGGUGAGAUUAAAAUAUGGUGCUCACAAGUUGUUUGAACUCGAGUUUUAUAAAGAAAA